GGCGCCGUAGCUCAGUGGUUAGAGCGAGCGUUUCAUAAGCGCUAGGUCGGAGGUUCGAUACCUCCCGGCGCCA
rnacentral:tRNA from 1 species